UACCUUACUUUACCUUUUUUUCUUAGCCAACUAGUCAUGUCUCGCCAGUUAAUUAGUCAAAUCGUUAAUAUUAAAUGAAAUGUAAAUAUUUUCGGACAACACAACUGUAUACAGACAUCCCUGAGUCGUAAACUCACCUCAGAUUGUGAUUAUUUACUCCUCGUGAAGGGCGGAGACGCUGCAGCUUGGAGAAGCGAUAAAGACUGACGUUUUUCACGCCAAUUUAGUUUCACUAAGAUCUUCAGUCCUACAUCUUCAGUGCAUCAAGAUACAUCAUAAAUUCUGGACUGACCUAGAUGAAGAUCGUGAAAUGAUAUCUAUGCUAGUUGGCUGUCAGAUAUUGCAACCAGUCCAGGAACCACUCAACCAGUUUGAAAUAUAGUACAGCAUACACAGGCUUAUAUCUUCCUGAUGCAUUGCCGUGCCCGGCUCCAAGCAAAAGGAUUAUCCUGUACUACAAGACAUUUUAAUGGGCUCCAACAGUCCAGAGAGAUCUGCCAGCACAGAACGUGCCGAGCAUAACAACUGCACUCGUUCUCCCUCGUGCCGCCAGGGAGUGGAGGUGCAGAUGCCCCAUGCUCCUCUGCUGUGGUGCUUCCCGAAUAUAUCAUACUUAUCCUCAUUCUGGAAAUGCAACAUUUCUCCUGUUGACCAGAUUAGAGAGCCACUGUGACGCUCAUCAGCAUGCAUUGCCUGUGCAUGUUUUCUCCCUCUUCACUGUUUUUUUUAUUCUCUUACUGAAUGGAUGCAUUCGUUCUCCUAGGAAACCAUGAUGCAAAAGAGGGUCAAUUUGAAUGUGCUUCCUUCUUUACAUUUGUGCAGAUAAAUGCAGAAGCGAGGCCAACACAAACAGCAGUUAAAAUUGCUGAUGAAAAAAUUUAAAUGCAAAGUAGUUUUAAGAAAAGCAAGUUCCCAGAACUAGUCAAAGCAAUGUAUAUGACUAAGUAAAGUACCAAUAGUGUGACAUGAUCAGUGUGCAGACAUACACUUUUUUUACCCCAUUUUCUAUACUUGUUGAUAAAAGCCUUUAAGGUGUUCCAUGGUACAUCUAAAGUGGUGCUUGAAAGUUUGUGAACCCUUUUGAAUUUUCUAUAUUUCUGCAAAAAUAUGACAUCAGAUUUUCCCACAAGUCAGUGUAGUCAGUGAGAAUCCAAACAAAAAAUUGACACAAAAUAUUAUACUUGGUCAUUUAUUUAUUGAGGAAAAUGGUACAAUAUUACAUAUCUGAGAGGCAAAAGUAUAUGAACCUUUGUUUUCAGUAUCUGGUGCAGCAAUUACUGCAACUAAACGUGUUGAUCAAUCCUGCACAUCAGCUUGGAGGAAUUUUAGCCCAUUCCUCAGUACAGAACAGCUUCAACUCUGAGAUUUUGAUGGGUUUCCUCACAUGAACUGCUUGAUUCAGUUCCUUCCACAACAUUUCUAUUGAAUUCAGGUGCGGACUUUGAAUUGGCCAUUCCAAAACAUUAACUUUAUACUUCUUUAACCAUUCUACAACAACAACUUGUGUGCUUAGAGUCGUUGUCUUGCUGCAUGACCCACUGUCUCUUGAGAUUCAUAUCACGUACAGAUGUCCUGACAUUUUCCAUUAUAACUCACUGGUAUAAUUCCAAAUUCAUUGUUCCAUCAAUGAUGGCAAGUCGACCUGGCCCAGAUGCAGCAAAAAAGGACCAAACCAUGAUACUACCACUAGCAUGUUUUACAGAUGGAAUAAGGUUCUUAUGCUGGAAUGCAGUUUUCUCCAAACAUAAUGCUUCUUGUUUAAACCAAAAUUUCGAUUUUGGUCUGAUCCAUCCACAAAACAUCUUCUAGUAGCCUUCUGGCUUGUCCACAUCAUCUUUACCAAACUGCACAAGGAUAGCAAUGCUCUUUUUGGAGAGCAAUGGUUUUCUCCUUGCAACCCUGCUAUGCACACCAUUGUUGUUCAGUGUUCUCCUGAUGGUGGACUCAAACAUUAACAUUACCCAAUGUGAGAGAGGCCUUUAGUUGCUUAGAUGUUACCCUGGGUUCUUUUGUGAACUCACAGACUAUUACACGUCUUGCUCUUGGAGUGAUCUUUGUUGGUCGACCACUCCUGGGGAGGAUAAUAAUAGUCUUGAAUUUCCUCCAUUUGAACACAGUCCAGCUAACUUUGGAUUGCUGGAGUCCAAACUCUUUAGAUUUUGUAACCUUUUCCAACCUGAUGAGCAUCAACAACUCUUUUUCUGAGUUCCUCAGAAAUCUCCUUUGUUCAUGCCAUGUGAUGUGAAGCGCAGACUUUGAUAUACCCCUGUUCUUUAAAUAGAACAGGGUGGUCACUCACACCUGAUUGUCAUCCCAUUGAUUGAAAACACCUGAUCAUUACCUCAUCUUAUUAAGUUUUAGGCUAUAUUUAUGAAGAAAUAUAAGGGUUAACAAACUUUUAAGCACAACUGUAAUGUUCUGGAAAUUAUUUUCUAAUCCUUUCCUAAUCGAUACCUUUCAGCAAUGAGAUUCUGUACAGGUUUUGUAAGAAUCUUGUGGACAAUGGCCUGACACCAAUGGCUUGACACCAACAAGCAGUAAGAUGACACCAACAAGAUGUCAAUAAAAUGUAAAGAAACCAACAUAUAAAGUAAUAGUCUGUGUCUCACAUUAAAACAUUGUUGCAUUUGUCUUAGAUCUGCAGAGAUAGAAGCAAGUGGGAGCCAAAGUCUACUGAAAACCCAGGACACGUUGAUGUGUGAACACUCUAGCAGCUGAUUUCCUUUUAAAAUGAUAAAACUGCUCAACAGGGAUCCCUAAGAGAAUUGGUGCAGUUAUAAAUGCAAAAGAUUGUCACACCAAAUCUUCAAAUUAGUCUUCUAUCCUUUAUAGUUGUUUUCUUUAUAUUUAUAUUUAAAUCAUAUUCCCAUUACCUUAUUUCUUUACAUGUGCCUAAAACCUUUGCACUGUUCUGUAAAUCACCACUAGUAAUUAAACAAACUUUGGACAAUAUUGCUAUACUUGUGUGACUUACUUUAUUGCCAUACUGACGGCUAUGAAUAAUUCAUUUGAGCUCAGUUUUCCUCUUGCAGAUUUGCCACUCUGUAUCUAAUGGCUUUGAACCCUACAUGACAUUAUUAAAAGAAUCACAUAGGAAUAGAAAGCCAUAAAACACAUGAAUGAUUUAUGCAUCAUUUCAUUGAACAACAACAAUAAACUGAAAUGGCAAUAAGUUGUUCUGCUUUGAGCAUCUUACUGCACUGCUUUAUCAACCACGAUAUACAGUAUAAACCACUCGAGCCAAGUUGCAGGCAACUCAGAAGAUUAAAAAACUCAUAUCAACAUGAAUAAUUAAACAGAAGAAUGAGAAUUAUUCAACUUUCUUUCUGUGCUGAACGGUUUGAAGUGUUUGUGUCUGAUUAUUCUUUUUAAAAUAACUCUUCAGAGACUGUUCACUUUUUUUCACUCCAAGCCACCUCUGAGCUCGGCUUACAGCUUCAGUAGUGAGAUCUGACUGAAAGUCACUGGGUCCCACAGGCCAUUCAAAACACUCUUUGAUGCAACUUGGUGCCCAUGCCAAAGAAUAAAAGGUACAGUGUUAAUCAAAAGUUGUUGUUUUUUCUG